AUUAUAAUUUUGGACAUACAAUUUGGGUUGAAAGGGCACAAGAUAUUUGGCAAAAAAUGAUUAUUUUGUUUUCAAAACUUUUCUAUCACAUAAAUUUUAUAAAUCUCAUGGAUACACAUGUUAUUUUGAAAGUUAAGUCUUAUGAGUAAAAAAUAGAGAGGAUUCAUCUCCUAGUAACACUAGAUUUAGUUAUAAUUAGAGAAUCAAUAAUAACUAAAAAAAUUGAAUAACAAGAGAUUUUAAUAUAUUUUAAAAAUUCUCAAACUAAUAAUAAAGAAUUUUACUAAGAUUGUUAAAAUCAAUGAACCAAUAACAAUUUAUUGUGUAAUUACUAACGUUGUAUAUUGUUAAAU
rnacentral:lncRNA from 1 species